rnacentral:lncRNA from 10 species
AGCGAGAGAACUUAGCUGUCUGCCUGUUCUGAGUCUGAGGUGUAAAUGUUUACCUCAUCAUACAUUAAGUAUCUAUAGAUUAUGCUCAAUACUUUUUGCAAAAUGUAGCAUAAAGUCACUACUCAUGCCCUUAAAAUAGGCAACAACAAUGUAAUUUUAGAAAAUGUUAAUAAGUUUUCCUAGCUUUUGAUUUUUUUUUUUUUUAGCUUUGGCCUUAUCCUUUUUUUAGGUAGUGGCUGGCAUUAUGGAUUAAUUACUUAAUACACUUUUGUUGCCUUAGAAUUCACUGAGCUGAAAUGGAGUGAGAGCUAAGAUGCUCUCAGAAUAUUCUUAAAAUGACUGUGCUGCAAAGAAGCCCGGGUGAAUAGAAGAAAAUAGAAGGAAUGGUGGAUACAAGUGAAGGUUAAAAUGAGACCCCAUUUAUCGCACCAGCUGUUGGUGAUUUCAGCGCACCUUUCCAAGCCUCUUGAGAGUUCUGCUCUAACCACACUGCCCCCUAGUGUUCUCUCGCUUUGGUGCAACUGCAGGUUUCUCAUACUUCCGGAGAAAUAGAAAGCACCAGAUGACAGCCACCACACACUUUUGUCCCCAUUGCAAUAGGAUGCUUCUAACAAUCGUAAAAUUAUGAAACACUGAAUUCCUUAAAAGUUGUCCAUUUGUGGAUUUAUCUGAUGGUAACUAUUAAAUAUUUAAAAGUAACUUUAAUGAAUCUACUUAUGAUGAUUGAGUAAUCUAUUCUCUGAAUUCCACCAAAAAACCAUUUUAUGACCACAGUCAUAACGAACAUAUUUCUAUAGUCCUAAGCUGGCAAGAUAAAUAGAGAACAGUUCAUAAUAUAAACAAUAUAUUUAUUUAUUCCUAAACUAAUAAGAUGACUAUCAAUCUGUAAGAGACUAUGAAAAUCAAUACCGUAUACUUGGUAUAGUUGGUGAGAAUUUCAGGAGCAUGUUUGUUCUUUUAUUUGUGUUUUGGAAGAUACUUAGCCCACUUUUUUUUUUUUUUUUUUGAGAUGGAGUCUCACUCUUGUCGCCCAGGCUGGAGUGGAGUGGCAUGAUCUCGACUCACUGCAACCUCCACCUCCCAGGUUCAAGUGAUACUCCUGCCUCAGCCUCCCGAGUAGCUGGGACUACAGGUGCGCACCACCACACCCAGCUAAUUUCUGUAUUUUUAGUAGAGACGGGGUUUCACCAUGUUGGCCAGAUGGUCUCGAUCUCUUGACCUUGUGAUCUGCCCGCCUCGGCCUACUUAGCCAACUUUUAAGGACAAGUCCAGCCAUCCUUAUCCUUCACAGCAAAUAACAAACAUAGUGAUUUGUGGGGGUGAAGAGAUGUUGGUCAAGGGGUAUGAAAGUACAGUCAGAUAAAAGGAAUGUGUCCUAGAUUUGAUAGAAUACUAGGGAAAUUACAGUUAACAAAAAUUUAUUGUACACUUCAAAGUAGCUAGAAGCAAAGAACUGUAAUGUCCCCAACACAAAGAAAAGAUAAAUGUUUGGGGUGAUAAUAUCUCAAUUACUCUGAUUUGAUCAUUACACAUUGUAUGCAGGUAUCAAAAUAUCACAUAUCCCCCCAAAAUAUGUACAACUGUUGUAUAUUAAUAAAAAUAAAUACAAACAAAAAGACCCAAAUAGUUAUUAAUUAUAGUGUAAAUAUUAGACUAGAGCCAUUCUGGACAAGCACCUGUUCAACACCAUAUCCUCAUUUUCUGGCACCCAGUAGACACUGCGGAAGUAUUUUUGAUUGGUCCUGCAGAGGUUCUACCCCAACCUCACCAGGUGCAGGUGGAUGCCAGGUGCCAG